rnacentral:misc_RNA from 1 species
CAUCAUACGAUGCUUGUGCGAAGGUACUGCGCCACACAUGCACGCGCACGAGCACCACUAUGGCGCCGCGCCACUACCGGCGCCAGAGCAGGAGCAGCCUCUGGGCCACUACUUCUCCGUGACUUACGCGGAGCUCUUAAAGGCGCACGUGCUUGACGUGCAUCUUCCGAACAUCCUCAUCGGAAUCAGCGCCAGCAUCGAGGUACCGCUUGUCACCAUUCUCGGCCGGCGCAUCGGCGCCAACUACUCCUCUAUCGCAGACUACAUCUCCGUCAUGGCCCUGUGCCGCACGCUGCUGGACAUCCCGUUCGGCAUCACCGUUGAGUACGUUGGAGUGCGCAACGUUAUGUUCCUCUGUCUGUUCCUAAAUAUCGUUGCCUCCCUCAUCGGCCUCAACGUGAGCAACGGCGCCUCGCUCUUCGCCUUCUGCAUGCUGAGCGGCAUCAGCCUCGGCGGCUUCUUCCUGGCGCGUCACAUCUUCGUUGCCGGCAUCACCUCCAAGAAGUAUCGUGGCCUGCUCAUGGCAAUUCUGUCAGGGCUGCUACGAUGGGCACACGUCAUCGGCCCCGUCGCUUCAGGCAUCUUCGCCUCGUACUCGGGCGAUGUCCGCUACUCCUUCGUUCUGUCGGCUAUCGCGAACAGCAUCGCCUUCGGCACUCUAGCCAUCGCCACGCAGUCGACUCGGUGCCAGCAAGUGUGCGAGCGCACGUGCAGGGCAAGCCUCGCGUCGUCUGUGGCAAGGACUCCGUUGCACUCAGAGCAAGAGGAGGACGCAUCGGAUAUCGUCUGGCACCACCCGGGCGUGACUGGCAGGGACGGCGCAUACGUAGCGACGGCACUGCUACCGCCGGCGACGGCAUCUUUCCCGACAAAGAGCGGCGUUUCGAGUAGCUUGCCGGACUCGGCGAACCACCGUGUCAUCGUCGGCGCGGAGAGGAAUGGCAGCACUUCGCCCCCGCAUGCUCACCACCUCCACCACACGCACGCGAACGGCGGUGUGGCAACGCGGCCCCGCAGCUGCAGUGCGGCGAGCACGGCGUCGGCGUCACUGCACCCGGACACGGGGGCCUGCCAGGAGCACAACUUCCACCUCACAACGCUCUGGAGCACCUUCGUCGACUACUGGAGCGUGAUCUGGCGCCUUGGCCUGUACAUCGUGCUCGCCACCGUGCUGCGUGCGAACCGCAAGCUCCUCAUUUCCUUUGCAGGAAUGCGCGCGGCGAUGACGGAUGCGCAGGUCUCCUACCUGAUGGGCUUCAGCUUCAUCUUUGACGCCCUCCUGUUCCCUCUCGGCGGCUUGAUGAUGGACCUACUCGGGCGCCAGUUUGCCAUGGUGCCCACCGCUGUCGGGCUCGGCAUUGUCUUCAUGUUCCUGCCCCUGUGUACGACGGAGCUGAAGCUCUACGUGGCCGCGUCGGCCUUCGGCAUCGUGGACGCACUGGGGUGCGGCAUCAUCAUGACGCUCACGGCGGAUCGGGCCCCGCCGCGCUGCGGGGCGCCGUUCUUUGGCAUCAUGCGGACGGUGCAGGACAUGGGCCACGUUGUUGGCGCUCGCGGUGUGUCAAGCCUCAUGCGCUACGCCGGCUUCGAUGUGUGCUGCUGGAUGCUGACGGUGGCCGGCUUCUUCACGGCGGUGUGGGGCAUGUACGGGGUCCCAAGCGAUACAGAGGCGCUUCCCGAGGCACCACGGCUGGAGCAGGCGGCGGUCGUCGCACAUGAGCGGCGGCUGCACAUGCUCUCUUCCUACUCCCAAAGCAGCGAGGAGACGGCGCCGCUGGCGGUUGUGUCGGCGACGGCGACGCCAUCCACGACAACGUACGGCACCGCGACACGGCCGCAGCCUGCGCCGUGCGUGAGACGGCAAGAAGGUGGGGAGGGAUACCGCAGCGUUGCGCGGAGCUGACGGUGUCUGUGUCGGCGUGUGUGGGGCCAUACACAACAUGGUGCAAAUGGUUCGCCGCAUGCCCAACCUGCUCGACCCUCCCCCAUUCCAUCCAUCACCCCCUCCCCCAUCUUUGCACGGGGGGGGGGGGAUGAUCGUGCCCCGACGACAUCCUUUUUCAUGGCGGGUAUGGGACUGGAGAGAGAGACCAGAGAGCGCGAGGAAAGAAAGCGGGGACACUGUCGCCACUGCGGAUGCCGCGCCGGCUCGCACGCUCUUCCGCAGCCGCCGUGUCCCUUCCCAUUGCCCUCUCUUUCGCGCGCGCGCGUUCAGCAGCGGUGCUCGUGCACGCCCACAUAUCUCCCGCUCUCCCUGCCAUCCGAUCCGCCCUCCCUCUUACAUCCCCGCAUACGCUUUUCCUUCGUUUUGGUCGUUAGCGAGCGAUGUCCUUUCUCGUCCUCCGCCUCUCUAAGCCGCCCCGAGUGACACGCACGCGCCAGUGUGUCUUAUCAUGUGUUGUUGUUCGUUUCUCUGCAGGGGGGGGGGGCUGGUUGGUUGGUGGUGGUGGUGCUCUCUGUGCGCUCUGCCAUCCGUGUGCAGGCGCUUCGCUUCAUCCUCAUUCAUUGGCUUCCUUGUGACUGUUCGCGUGUAACCUCCUCCCCUCUCCCCUUCGCCUCUGUUCUCCAACUAAAG